rnacentral:piRNA from 1 species
UAAUCAAAAGUCUCAGGAAGAGUAAGG